GAUGAACGCUGGCGGCGUGCCUAAUACAUGCAAGUCGAGCGAACAGACGAGGAGCUUGCUCCUCUGACGUUAGCGGCGGACGGGUGAGUAACACGUGGAUAACCUACCUAUAAUACUGGUAUAACUUCGGGAAACCUGAGCUAAUACCGGAUAAUAUAUUUAACCGCAUGGUUCAAUAGUGAAAGACGGUUUUGCUGUCACUUAUCGAUUGAUCCGCGCCGCAUUAUCUAGUUGGUAAGGUAACGGCCUACCAAGGCGACGAUGCGUAGCCGAACUGAGAGGGAGAUCGGAAAGACUGGAAAAGAGACACGGUCAAGACACCGACGGGAGGAAGCAGAAGGGAAUCUUACGAAAUGGGCGAAAGCAUGACGGAGCAACGCCGGGUGAGAGAAGAAGGUAAAAGGAGCGUAAAACUCUGUUAUAAGGGAAGAACAAAUGUGUAAGUAACUAUGCACGUCUUGAAGGUACCUAAUCAGAAAGCCACGGCUAACUACGUG
rnacentral:rRNA from 1 species